rnacentral:rRNA from 1 species
UACGUAGGAAGCAAGCGUUGUCCGGAAUCACUGGGCGUAAAGCGCGUGUAGGCGGUAUGGCAAGUCUGCUGUGAAAGCUCUCGGCUUAACCGGGAGAGGUCGGUGGAAACUGCCAAACUGGAGGACGGUAGAGGGGGGUGGAAUUCCCGGUGUAGUGGUGAAAUGCGUAGAGAUCGGGAGGAACACCGGUGGCGAAGGCGGCCCCCUGGGCCGGCCCUGACGCUGAGACGCGAAAGCGCGGGGAGCGAACGGG